rnacentral:misc_RNA from 1 species
CACCACUCCAGCCUCGCUGGGUAUUGGGCGUCUUUUCGCGGGGGAUCACUCCCCCGCGCGCCUCAAAGUCUCCGGCUGAGCGGUCUCGUCUCCCAGCGUUGUGGCAUCACGUCUCGCCGCGGAGUUCACGAGCCCUCACGGCCGUUAAAUCACACCUCA